UGACGCAUUCUCAAGAGGCACAGACUGAGAUGAGGAAAUUGAGGCUCAGAAAUCCAUGCCUAAGGACAUGUGGCUGUUGUGUCAACCAGGAUUGUCUACUUUAUGCUGUGGUAAAAAGAAUUCCAAAACCUCUGAGUGCAACAAAGGUUGCCCUUUCUCCCAUUGACCAGUGAUGAACUCCUAUUCAUCCAUCAAGACCCAGAAUUCACAUGUUGGAUCCUACUGCCCAAUGUGAUGGUGUUAGAAGCAUGCCCUACCAACACCUUGAUUUUAGACAUUCAGCCUCCAGAACUGUGAG